rnacentral:rRNA from 1 species
CUCUAGGAAGACUGCCCGUGUAAGCGGUGAGGAAGGUGGGGACGACGUCAGGUCAUCAUGGCCUUUAUGCCUAGGGCUACACACGUGCUACAAUGGCCGGUACAGCGGGUCGCGAAGUCGCAAGGCGGAGCUAAUCCCUGUAAAGCCGGUCCCAGUUCGGAUUGGGGUCUGGAACUCGACCCCAUGAAGGUGGAAUCGCUAGUAAUCGCGCAUCAGCCAUGGCGCGGUGAAUACGUUCCCGGACCUU